rnacentral:rRNA from 1 species
UACGUAGGGUGCAAGCGUUGUCCGGAAUUAUUGGGCGUAAGGAGCUCGUAGGCGGUUUGUCGCGUCGGCUGUGAAAACCCGGGGCUCAACCCCGGGCCUGCAGUCGAUACGGGCAAACUAGAGUGUGGUAGGGGAGACUGGAAUUCCUGGUGUAGCGGUGAAAUGCGCAGAUAUCAGGAGGAACACCGGUGGCGAAGGCGGGUCUCUGGGCCAUAACUGACGCUGAGGAGCGAAAGCGUGGGGAGCGAACAGG